GUAACCAUCCAUGGAAAAAUCCAGGCGCAAGUUUGCAAAGACGAGGUGCUAUUAGAAGACCGCCUCCUACUACUACUAGACGACCAACUACAACUGCACGCAGGGCACGAGGACUAUUCGGACAAGGCAAAUAAUCUAUUCAAGAUAUUCAGCUCCGGAACACUAGAAGUCUGACUAAAAAGGAAAAUAAAGAUAUUUCGAACACUGCUGCUGCACGCAGGUCAAAUGGAAUGUGGGGAUAAGACAAGUCAACGACAUAAAAUAUUCGGCUGCGGAACACUCGAAGUGAGAAUAAGAAAGAAAAUAAACAUAUUUCGGACCU
rnacentral:lncRNA from 1 species